rnacentral:lncRNA from 1 species
ACAUAGUAGAAUGACGUAGUAUGACUGAUACAUUAUGACUCUAGCUAGAUGGCAUUUAUAUUUCGUUAAUAUUAAGUCUCAUGAAGAAUUAUUGAUCAUUGUAAAAUAUUCACUAUGAUGACUUUAGCAUUAUGAGCCGCAGGCUUAGACCGAAUGAUAUAUAUAUAUAUAUAUAUAUUAUGACUUAAAUGUGUAUUAUUUAUGUUUCAAAAUUUUUGUUGUGUAGAAGUUCCUUUAAAAGAAACAUACG